GACGAACGCUGGCGGCGUGCCUAAUACAUGCAAGUAGAACGCUGAAGAGAGGAGCUUGCUCUUCUUGGAUGAGUUGCGAACGGGUGAGUAACGCGUAGGUAACCUGCCUUGUAGCGGGGGAUAACUAUUGGAAACGAUAGCUAAUACCGCAUAACAAUGGAUGACACAUGUCAUUUAUUUGAAAGGGGCAAUUGCUCCACUACAAGACGGACCUGCGUUGUAUUAGCUAGUAGGUGAGGUAAUGGCUCACCUAGGCGACGAUACAUAGCCGACCUGAGAGGGUGAUCGGCCACACUGGGACUGAGACACGGCCCAGACUCCUACGGGAGGCAGCAGUAGGGAAUCUUCGGCAAUGGGGGCAACCCUGACCGAGCAACGCCGCGUGAGUGAAGAAGGUUUUCGGAUCGUAAAGCUCUGUUGUAAGUCAAGAACGGGUGUGAGAGUGGAAAGUUCACACUGUGACGGUAGCUUACCAGAAAGGGACGGCUAACUACGUGCCAGCAGCCGCGGUAAUACGUAGGUCCCGAGCGUUGUCCGGAUUUAUUGGGCGUAAAGCGAGCGCAGGCGGUUUGAUAAGUCUGAAGUUAAAGGCUGUGGCUCAACCAUAGUUCGCUUUGGAAACUGUCAAACUUGAGUGCAGAAGGGGAGAGUGGAAUUCCAUGUGUAGCGGUGAAAUGCGUAGAUAUAUGGAGGAACACCGGUGGCGAAAGCGGCUCUCUGGUCUGUAACUGACGCUGAGGCUCGAAAGCGUGGGGAGCGAACAGGAUUAGAUACCCUGGUAGUCCACGCCGUAAACGAUGAGUGCUAGGUGUUGGAUCCUUUCCGGGAUUCAGUGCCGCAGCUAACGCAUUAAGCACUCCGCCUGGGGAGUACGACCGCAAGGUUGAAACUCAAAGGAAUUGACGGGGCCCGCACAAGCGGUGGAGCAUGUGGUUUAAUUCGAAGCAACGCGAAGAACCUUACCAGGUCUUGACAUCCCGAUGCUAUUUCUAGAGAUAGAAAGUUACUUCGGUACAUCGGUGACAGGUGGUGCAUGGUUGUCGUCAGCUCGUGUCGUGAGAUGUUGGGUUAAGUCCCGCAACGAGCGCAACCCCUAUUGUUAGUUGCCAUCAUUCAGUUGGGCACUCUAGCGAGGCUGCCGGUAAUAAACCGGAGGAAGGUGGGGAUGACGUCAAAUCAUCAUGCCCCUUAUGACCUGGGCUACACACGUGCUACAAUGGUUGGUACAACGAGUUGCGAGUCGGUGACGGCGAGCUAAUCUCUUAAAGCCAAUCUCAGUUCGGAUUGUAGGCUGCAACUCGCCUACAUGAAGUCGGAAUCGCUAGUAAUCGCGGAUCAGCACGCCGCGGUGAAUACGUUCCCGGGCCU
rnacentral:rRNA from 1 species